GUCAGCGACUUAUAUUCUGUAGCAAGGUUAACCGAAUAGGGGAGCCGGAGGGAAACCGAGUCUUAACCGGGCGUUAAGUUGCAGGGUAUAGACCCGAAACCCGGUGAUCUAGCCAUGGGCAGGUUGAAGGUUGGGUAACACUAACUGGAGGACCGAACCGACUAAUGUUGAAAAAUUAGCGGAUGACCUGUGGCUGGGGGUGAAAGGCCAAUCAAACCGGGAGAUAGCUGGUUCUCCCCGAAAGCUAUUUAGGUAGCGCCUCGUGAAUUCAUCUCCGGGGGUAGAGCACUGUUUCGGCUAGGGGGCCAUCCCGGCUUACCAACCCGAUGCAAACUGCGAAUACCGGAGAAUGUUAUCACGGGAGACACACGGCGGGUGCUAACGUCCGUCGUGAAGAGGGAAACAACCCAGACCGCCAGCUAAGGUCCCAAAGUCAUGGUUAAGUGGGAAACGAUGUGGGAAGGCCCAGACAGCCAGGAUGUUGGCUUAGAAGCAGCCAUCAUUUAAAGAAAGCGUAAUAGCUCACUGGUCGAGUCGGCCUGCGCGGAAGAUGUAACGGGGCUAAACCAUGCACCGAAGCUGCGGCAGCGACACUGUGUGUUGUUGGGUA
rnacentral:rRNA from 1 species